UACAGAGGUGGCAAGCGUUGUUCGGAAUUACUGGGCGUAAAGGGCGCGUAGGCGGCCUACUAAGUCAGACGUGAAAUCCCCCGGCUUAACCUGGGAACUGCGUCUGAUACUGGAAGGCUUGAGGAUGGGAGAGGGAUGUAGAAUUCCAGGUGUAGCGGUGAAAUGCGUAGAUAUCUGGAGGAAUACCGGUGGCGAAGGCGGCAUCCUGGACCAUUACUGACGCUGAGGCGCGAAAGCCAGGGGAGCAAACGGG
rnacentral:rRNA from 1 species